GGCUGGUUCAAAGGUAAUCAGUUAUCUCAAUGUUUGCAGUCAGUUACAGAUAGAACUCCUUGUUCUACCUUGUCCUCCCUUCUCACUACUGCAGUUGACUGGUCUUGA
rnacentral:Y_RNA from 1 species